rnacentral:rRNA from 1 species
UAUGCUUAGCCUUAAACCCAGAUGCACCCCUACACUUACAUCCGCCAGGGGACUACGAGCGCAGCUUAAAACCCAAAGGACUUGGCGGUGCCUCAAACCCACCUAGAGGAGCCUGUUCUAGAACCGAUAACCCACGUUGAACCUCACCACUUCUUGUUUCCCCCGCCUAUAUACCGCCGUCGUCAGCUUACCCUGUGAAGGUUUAAUAGUAAGCAAAACGGGCUCACCCAAAAACGUCAGGUCGAGGUGUAGCGUAUGAAGUGGAAAGAAAUGGGCUACAUUUUCUAUUAACAGAACAUCACGAACGGCACUUUGAAACCAGUGCCCGAAGGUGGAUUUAGUAGUAAAAAACAAACAGAAAAUCUUUUUGAACCAGGCUCUGAGGCGC